CCUACGGGAGGCAGCAGUGGGGAAUUUUGGACAAUGGGCGCAAGCCUGAUCCAGCAAUGCCGCGUGAGUGAAGAAGGCCUUCGGGUUGUAAAGCUCUUUUGUCAGGGAAGAAACGGUGAGGGCUAAUAUCUCUUGCUAAUGACGGUACCUGAAGAAUAAGCACCGGCUAACUACGUGCCAGCAGCCGCGGUAAUACGUAGGGUGCAAGCGUUAAUCGGAAUUACUGGGCGUAAAGCGUGCGCAGGCGGUUUUGUAAGUCUGUCGUGAAAUCCCCGGGCUCAACCUGGGAAUUGCGAUGGAGACUGCAAGGCUAGAAUCUGGCAGAGGGGGGUAGAAUUCCACGUGUAGCAGUGAAAUGCGUAGAGAUGUGGAGGAACACCGAUGGCGAAGGCAGCCCCCUGGGUCAAGAUUGACGCUCAUGCACGAAAGCGUGGGGAGCAAACAGGAUUAGAUACCCUGGUAGUCCACGCCCUAAACGAUGUCUACUAGUUGUCGGGUUUUAAUUAACUUGGUAACGCAGCUAACGCGUGAAGUAGACCGCCUGGGGAGUACGGUCGCAAGAUUAAAACUUAAAUGAAAUUGACGG
rnacentral:rRNA from 1 species